CGAAAGUAAAAUUUCGUGGAGGUCCGAACCCACGAGCGUUGAAAAGCUCGGGGAUGACUUGUGGGUAGCGGUGAAAUUCCAAUCGAGCCCGGAGAUAGCUGGUUCUCCCCGAAAUAGCUUUAGGGCUAGCCUCAAGGUGAGAGAUACGGAGGUAGAGCACUGAAUGUCCUAGGGGGUAUUGCACCUACCGAAGACUAUCAAACUCCGAAUGCCGUCAUCUUAUACUUGGGAGUCAGACUGUGGGUGAUAAGAUUCAUAGUCGAAAGGGCAACAGCCCAGAUCGUCAGCUAAGGUCCCUAAAUGUAAGUUAAGUGGUAAAGGAUGUGGGAUUGCACAGACAACCAGGAUGUUGGCUUAGAAGCAGCCACUCAUUCAAAGAGUGCGUAAUAGCUCACUGGUCGAGUGAUCCUGCGCCGAAGAUUUCCGGGGCUAAAACUUACUACCGAAGCUACGGCAUCAGUAAUGAUGGGUAGGGGAGCUUCCCAUACGGGUUGAAGCAUGACCGUAAGGACAUGUGGACAGUAUGGGAGUGAGAAUGUUGGCAUGAGUAGCGAGAUGUGGGUGAGAAUCCCACAGGCCGUAAACCCAAGGUUUCCAGGGGAAGGUUCGUCCGCCCUGGGUUAGUCGGGACCUAAGCUGAGGCCGAAAGGCGUAGGUGAUGGACAACAGGUUGAUAUUCCUGUACUACCGAUAACCGUUUGAGAGAAGGGAUGACACAGUAGGAUAAGCUAAGCACACUGUUGGUUAUGUGUGCCCAAGCAUUGAGGCAGUCAAAGUAGGCAAAUCCGCUUUGAUAAUGCUGGGAUGUGAUGGGGAGCGAAAUUUAGUAGCGAAGUAGCUGAUUUCACACUGUCAAGAAAAGUCUCUAUCGAGGUUAAAGGUACCCGUACCGCAAACCGACACAGGUGGGUGAGGAGAGUAUCCUAAGGCCAGCGAGAGAACUGUUGUUAAGGAACUCGGCAAAAUGACCCCGUAACUUAGGGAUAAGGGGUGCCACCAUCAGGUGGCCGCAGAGAAUAGGCCCAAGCGACUGUUUACCAAAAACAUAGGUUUCUGCUAAGUCGCAAGACGAUGUAUAGGAGCUGACGCCUGCCCGGUGCUGGAAGGUUAAGGGGAUCUGUUAGAG
rnacentral:rRNA from 1 species